GAUGAAGAACGUAGCGAAAUGCGAUAAGUAGUGUGAAUUGCAGAAUUCAGUGAAUCAUCGAGUCUUUGAACGCACAUUGCGCCCGCUAGUAUUCUGGCGGGCAUGCCUGUCCGAGCGUCAUUUCAACCCUCGAGCCCGGCUCGGCGUUGGGGCGCGCGGCGCCUGCCCUCCCCCCCGGGGAGGGCCGGCCCGCGGCCCUCAAACCCAGUGGCGGUCACCGGUAGGGUACCCUCUGCGUAGUAGCAAGCCUCUCGCACCGGGAACCACCGGCGGCCCGCCGUGAAACGAGGCCCCGUCCUCACACACAAAGGUUGACCUCGGAUCAGGUAGGAAUACCCGCUGAACUUAAGCAUAUCAAUAAGCGGAGGA
rnacentral:misc_RNA from 1 species